rnacentral:rRNA from 1 species
UACGAAGGGGGCUAGCGUUGUUCGGAAUCACUGGGCGUAAAGGGCGCGUAGGCGGCCGAUUAAGUCGGGGGUGAAAGCCUGUGGCUCAACCACAGAAUUGCCUUCGAUACUGAUUGGCUUGAGACCGGAAGAGGUAAGUGGAACUGCGAGUGUAGAGGUGAAAUUCGUAGAUAUUCGCAAGAACACCAGCGGCGAAGGCGGCUUACUGGUCCGGUUCUGACGCUGAGGCGCGAAAGCGUGGGGAGCAAACAGG